rfam:Tursiops truncatus cont1.96385, whole genome shotgun sequence.
CCGAGCACAUGGGCCCGCGGGCCGGGCGGACUCCGGGCGGCCGGGACCCGGAGUAUCAGCGAGGGGCCGCGAGCGAGGGUGGGCCCCGGCACGCGCCCGGAACCCCCUGAGUGGAUUUCCACGCGGAAAGGCUGUUGGCGGCCCCGGUGACCUGCGGAGACACGGCUGAAUCCACCUUCCA